AGGAUUUUAGUUAAAUAUAACAUUUGAUUUGCAAUCAAAAAGUAUUGAUUUAAUCAAUUUAUCUUA
rnacentral:tRNA from 1 species